AGAACGAACGCUGGCGGCAGGCCUCAAACAUGCAAGUCUAGGGGGUGUAGCAAUACAUCACCGGCGGACGGGUGCGUAACACGUGGGAAUAUACCUUUUGGUUCGGAACAACGCAGGGAAACUUGCGCUAAUGCCGAAUGUGCCCUUACGGGGAAAGAUUUAUCGCCAAAGGAUUAGCCCGCGUCCGAUUAGCUAGUUGGUGAGGUAACGGCUCACCAAGGCUCCGAUCGGUAGCUGUUCUGAGAGGAAGAUCAGCCACACUGGGACUGAGACACGGCCCAGACUCCUACGGGAGGCAGCAGUUGGGAAUCUUGGACAAUGGGGGAAACCCUGAUCCAGCCAUGCCGCGUGAGUGAUGAAGGCCUUCGGGUUGUAAAACUCUUUCGACGGGGACGAUAAUGACGGUACCCGUAGAAGAAGCUCCGGCUAACUUCGCGCCAGCAGCCGC
rnacentral:rRNA from 1 species